rnacentral:rRNA from 1 species
GAUGAACGCUGACAGAAUGCUUAACACAUGCAAGUCGAUUCGAUUUACCUUCGGGUAUUGAGGAUGGCGGACGGGUGAGUAACGCGUAAGGAACUUGCCUCUUGGUCUGGGACAACUGUUGGAAACGACAGCUAAUACCGGAUAUUAUGAGAUUCUCGCAUGGGAAACUUAUGAAAGCUAUAUGCGCCAAGAGAGAGCCUUGCGUUCCAUUAGCUAGUUGGUGGGGUAACGGCCCACCAAGGCGACGAUGGAUAGCCGGCCUGAGAGGGUGAACGGCCACAAGGGGACUGAGACACGGCCCUUACUCCUACGGGAGGCAGCAGUGGGGAAUAUUGGACAAUGGGCCACAAGCCUGAUCCAGCAAUUCUGUGUGCACGAUGAAGGUCUUCGGAUUGUAAAGUGCUUUCAGUUGGGAAGAAGAAAGUGACGGUACCAACAGAAGAAGCGACGGCUAAAUACGUGCCAGCAGCCGCGGUAAUACGUAUGUCGCAAGCGUUAUCCGGAUUUAUUGGGCGUAAAGCGCGUCUAGGCGGAAAAAUAAGUCUGAUGUUAAAAUGCGGGGCUCAACUCCGUAUUGCGUUGGAAACUGUUUUUCUAGAGUACUGGAGAGGUGGGCGGAACUACNAGUGUAGAGGUGAAAUUCGUAGAUAUUUGUAGGAAUG